UUUUCUUCUUCUUCUCCAAACCACCCAAACCCUAAACCACACCCUUCAAUCACUGCUCCUCCACACCAGCAGUCCACCCCCAUCAAAAAACGACCCCUGGAACCAGUAGCAGCGGACAGCUGAGCCGUUGCUGCUGCGUCGUCAUCUUUAUCCCGUUUCUAGCCCAUGUCGUUGAAACCAACCAUAAUUACCAUAACCUCCCAAGCAGCCCAGCUCACGGCCAUCCAUCUCCUUCGGGAACUAGUCCAAGCGACCACCUCAAAACCCACCAGCCCUCACGUCCCAAAUGAACCAACGCCAACAUCCCCCUCAACGGUGGAAAAACAGAAUGAGAGACCACAUCAAGUCGCGUUCAAGCAGUUCGUUGCCCCCUUCCAGCUCCAUCUACCUCAUUGUGACAACCUAGACGAACUGCAGCCGUGAAACCUACUCCAAAUGCCAGCUCCACUGGCACGCCGUCAACCAGCCCUAUCAGGAACAACCGAGUAACAUUUUUCUUCUAUAAUUUCUCGAUGGCUAAGGAAAGCAGCGAUGUGUAUACGAGUGAUGGUGCCGUUUACAGUAGUAACGUAUUGGGACGUGCUUUUGGUUUCUUAAUUCGCGAUCUUGUUCGAGGUCAGCUAACUUGGUACUGUCCAUUGGUUUUCCGGUUCAAAACCUUGUUUCCGGUUUGAAGUUUUAAUUUGUUCAAAGGUCCGCUUCUGCUUCGCUCAUUUCCCCAAUCAUCAAUCUACAUAGUUCAUGUGCACGUUUUCUUUGUUUUUAUAAUUUUAAUGAAUAUGCAAAUAUCCUAUUAAGUGUUCUCUGUGCUCAAUCUUAAAAUUGAAGUCGCUUGAGAAUAGGGGAUUCUCAUAAUCUGUUACUUUAGAAUCUGUUAGUAUAGAUUAAUUUAGUGAUAGUUAUGGUUUAUUUAAUUAAUUUAGUUGGGAUUGAAUCAAUUGGAUUGGUUUCCAUUCAUGACUCUGUAUGUUGUUUAGUCAUAACAAAAUUUCAAUAUGUUUAAAAUAGAUAUAAGUUCCUAAGAAAAGAAAGCAGAUUGCUUUUAGGUCGUAGGAUGGAAUUGCAGGACUGUGAUACUGGGAUUUAUAUUUUCCAUUAUUCCGCAUAUUUGAAAACAUAUUUCACAAAGCCAAGGGAGUAUUUUUUGGUUCAUAAAUUGCUUAGCUUAUGUCCUAUACGUGUAGAUUGAUUUUACUGUUAUAAAAAGUUAUUGUUGGCAUGUGGAAGAUUUGAAUCUUUUGUGACUUGGUGUCUUGGUAUAAGAUAUUAGCCAAAUGAAUAGUUUAUGACCCUUGUAACCUUAAUUAAGAAUUAUUUAAUUGGAGUGCUUUGUCCACUAGAUUAAAGUAUUAUUAAAAUAAUAUAGUGAAGGACAAGACAUGUGGGUAGCAUAAUGAUGCAAAGUAAAAAGAGGGUAGACAGUGGGGUCCACGUUUGACUGCUUUUGCUGAUUGGGAAUUAGAAAUAGAAGGUAAUAAUAAAAGGGGAGGAAUAAUAAUAAAAGGGUAGGAGAAAAGGUUCUUGCUUUUGGAUAUAAUUAGAAGUCAUUUUGUCACUUAAGUGAGGAGAAAAUUUAGAGAGAAAAAAUAUUUUCAGUACUAGAGGGAAAUAAAAAAAUUCAGAUUCAGUCUUUGAGAAUUAAAAACUGAAAGUGAAGUCUUUAUUUUCUGCUAAAAGUCAGAACACUAUUACUACUUCUGUGGUUUGCAUUUGGCACUGCUGAUUUUCGGAUUGAAUUCUUGGGUUCCUGCUUGGGUUUCUGAUAUAGGUGUUGCUGUAGGAUUAUUUUUGAAUCAGUUUAUUGGAUGUGGAAUCAUCUCUGUUGGUUUUAAAAUUUGUUCCUGGGUGUUCAAUUUGCUACUGCUGUUGAUGUUUGUUAUUGUUCUUUGCUACUGCUGAUCCUUUUCUUUUCCUGUCUUAUUUCUCUAAUCCAGGUAUUCACUUGAGUUAAAUACUGGUGUACCCGUGCAGUUGAGCAUGAGUUGAAAUGUGAAGACUUUUUAUUAUGAAAUAUUGUACCUCUAGUUUAAUAGAUAAAAUNNN
rnacentral:lncRNA from 1 species